UAUUUUGUUAGUUUAAAUAAAAACGUUGAUUUGUGGAAUCAAUAAAGCAAUUAAAUUGCACAAAAUAA
rnacentral:tRNA from 1 species